UGUAUGUGUGCUCGAGGUGUUGUAGGUCUCGGCUGCAUUUGCAUCGGGUAAUAUGUCGGUCGCUCGGCGAGAUCGGGGCCGGAAUCGCCUCGUUUUUCUCUGCGGACAAGAAUUAGCUUUUGUGAAUUAGGGGAAGCUUUAUUUUAGCUUUACUUUGUAGGGGGAACGAGAGGAAAUUUAUCGGUGUUUUUUUUUACCGUGGAAGGAUUUUAUCGUGAAGGGAUUGCUGCUUAAAUGUGUCAUUUGGACUUGACACCUUCGUCCGAUUGAAAUGUCGCUAUGUGCACAAACCCUGGAUUAAAAGUAUAGGCCUUAGAUGGCUCUAUUGAACCACAGCGGAAUCAGGCAUCAAAAAUGAAAAAAGGUCCUUGUAAGAACCGUGUGAAAACGUUCAGAAGUAGGUUAUCGAGGAAGAAAUAUUUUAACCCGGCUUCGGUGGAUGCUUGUAAUACACACGUGGAAUAGUCUUGCCAUGAUAAUCCUCCCAUCCAUCAUUUUAGGACCUUGCAUACAAAAGAGUAAAUUGGCGUGCGGUUAGUAUAAUUUUCGUAUUAAUAUUCUGCCAAAGUCCGCGAUGUAAGCAGUAUCAAACUGUUCCUUAUGCUCAGAUAAUUUGAAGUGUUACCCUGAAUGAAUAAACAAAAAUUAAUUUAAUUUGACUAUACACAGCAUUUAUGAUACUGUAUACGUAAUUUUAUUUAUAGUUGCAAUUAAAAAGAAGCUCAGAAAGUUGGAAAUACUCAUGAAAACAUAAUGAAGAAUCACGUAUACGUGUAAACACGGGCAAAGGCGAUGUCAUCACGCACUAUAGAAUGUAAAACUCGCGACGUCACGAUGUUGGGCGACAAAGCUCAAUGACGUUUCGCGAUGCAACAGAUGUAAAUUUCAUGCAUUAAACAUGUGAGCUAAAAUUAUUUACUCUAGCCUCGAGCACGAGUUAACUUAAUUUCGAGAAUUCAACACGUGCGGCUUAGCUGUCGUUCAAUAAUACAGGCACAAAUUUAUUUAUUCUUUUAGUUGUCAAUUAUUUAUUGCUAUAUUUUUCUGCAUGAGAAUUAUUCUUAUAAAUACGAGUACAUAAGUUUGUUUUGAUCUUGAGUUUUUUUAGAUUUAAUUCACAUAAUGGGCUUGAAGCUCAAAGAAAAUUAUGCGACUGAAAUACAUGCAGCUGGUGAUAAAAAAUUGUUCGUUUUUAGUAGUUACUCUUUGUAUAUUUCGAUCUUGCUUUGGCAAUUUUAGUUUGUCAUGAAGUAAAAGCGUGGGUGCAAUUAAUAAGGAAACCCCGACACCCCUCUGUCUGCAACGUCAAGUUUAGAUUAUGAUUCGUCCAACAAUCAUAUCGGCAUUAAAAAGAUUUGUUUUUCAAAUUCUUCAUCUAAUCACUAGUUAUGUGUUUCCGGCUGUGAGAAAUCCUUAGCGUUAAGCUAAGAAAAAAUCGAAAUCUCCGUCUCUAGCGCGUUUAUUCAACUUUGUCAUAGUCAUUUACUCCGGCUGAAAAAAAAAA